CUUGGAUGUUUUCAGACAGUGUGUACCUGCACCAUGUUGCACUAUGCAGUAAGUAAGAUGCUGAUACCAGACAUAAUUUUUCCAGCUCUGUGACCCCUUGAAAUUAAGAAGAAGCCAAGACUUAAAGAAGACAACAAGGAAAUAAGAUAUAGCCAAUGUUUAUUCAUCCACCUCAAAAGCCUGCAUGACUUGCAGAGGGGACAAAUUACUGUUUGCCAUUUUCUUUAUGCUAUAAACAGAGAUGACUAUACCCUUUGUAUGCUGGAAUCCAGGAAUAACUCAUCAUUAACACACAUGCAGAAAUUUUCUAAUACCGUGGAAUUUUUUUGUGCUUGAGUAGUAAUAGGAUGUGGGAAGAAUACUUAAAGUUUAGGCGCUGUGACAUACACUCAAUAAAAAGGAGGAUCAAAUGAAAACAGCAUAUAAAACUGGAGUAUGACGUGAAAUUCACAUACAAUUCACAGAGAUCAAUAGUAAAAACAUCAGCUGUGCCAAUCAAGACUCAAAUGGAAUGUCACACUAAGUUAGGGUCAUCAUAUCAACACUUAAAUAUUUAAGCUGAAAAACUGGAAAAGUAAGAUUAUUUUGCAUUAAAUGAAAAGAUCAUGCAAUGAAAACUUCUGAUUGAAAUAGUAAUCUGGAAUAGGAAUCAACUUUAAAAUUAAAUGUAAAAAGCAUCGGUGAGCAAAUUCAUAAAUAGGGAAGUCUUCAAAAGAUUUAGGGGUCCAGUAAAGAAGAAAGUUGUUUGUUGUUGUUAUUUU